AUUGAACGCUGGCGGCAGGCUUAACACAUGCAAGUCGAGCGGGGUGAUGGUGCUUGCACUAUCACUUAGCGGCGGACGGGUGAGUAAUGCUUAGGAAUCUGCCUAUUAGUGGGGGACAACAUCUCGAAAGGGAUGCUAAUACCGCAUACGUCCUACGGGAGAAAGCAGGGGAUCACUUGUGACCUUGCGGUAAUAGAUGAGCCUAAGUCGGAUUAGCAAGUUGGUGGUGUAAAGGCCUACCAAGGCGACGAUCUGUAGCGGGUCUGAGAGGAUGAUCCGCCACACUGGGACUGAGACACGGCCAGACUCCUACGGGAGGCAGCAGUGGGGAAUAUUGGACAAUGGGGGGAACCCUGAUCCAGCCAUGCCGCGUGUGUGAAGAAGGCCUUAUGGUUGUAAAGCACUUUAAGCGAGGAGGAGGCUCUUUUGGUUAAUACCCAAGAUGAGUGGACGUUACUCGCAGAAUAAGCACCGGCUAACUCUGUGCCAGCCGCCGCAGUAA
rnacentral:rRNA from 1 species